UCUUUUUUAAAUGCAAGGCUCAAAGUUUCUGCCUUUUUCUCCACAUGCCCUUCAGCACCACCAGUCUUGAAUCUCCUGCUGCUUUUUUUCUCCCUUCUGCUGCCUUCCUCCCUCUGUACCCUGUGUUACCUGACAACUCAGAGCUACUCUGUCCCUUGAACUUAUUAUUUUGCCACAGACCAGUCCUGACCUCUUGAAGAACAGAACAUGAUAUUUGUGCUCUGUUUUUGAUGUCAGUCACUGCUACAACCAAAGAGACAUGUUGUGCACAGCUGUGGUUGGCAAAGAACUUGUGCACAUGCUGGUGCUUUGGAGUAGCAAACAGGCAAAGGAAUUGCAGCUGGUGCUUUGAUUGACAAGGCUAAACAGAGAAAAUAUUUUCUGUGGAUCUCCAGACUUGCAGUUAUAUCCGAAUUAUGAGACUUCUACUAUUUAACAGUGGCUUCUGGACUUGAAUUUUAUAACCUCUGUGGUGGAACAAAACAAGUUUUAAAAAAUUCCAAUAUUUGUAAAAAAAUUAAUAAAAACUAUAAUUCUUUCUGUGAAAAAAAAAAUUAAAACCACCCAAACCAAACAACCUUAUCAAUAUUUUAAAGAAUAAACGCAAAACAAGAGCAAAUCUUUUGAUUAAAAGAACAUGCAAACCAUGUUGUGUUAAUCAGUAUUUUCUGCUUGCUGCC